CACCCACCAAGCCUUGCUUGAUGUUGGACCCAGGUCGUUUGACCGGUCCGAAACACGUGUGGCGCCGUCCGUCGAUCACAAGCGUAGCAAAAUACCCUUCGCUGUGUGUGUCUGCGGGUGGCCGCCAUCGAACGAAAAACCAUUUACCA
rnacentral:misc_RNA from 1 species